rnacentral:rRNA from 1 species
UACAGAGGGGGCAAGCGUUAUUCGGAAUUAUUGGGCGUAAAGCGUGCGCAGGCGGUUCGUUGUGUCGGCGGUGAAAGCCCCGGGCUUAACCUGGGAAUGGCCGUCGAAACUGGCGAACUGGAGUGUGGCAGAGGGGGGGUGGAAUUCCGCGUGUAGCAGUGAAAUGCGUAGAGAUGCGGAGGAACACCGAUGGCGAAGGCAGCUCCCGUGGGCUAACACUGACGCUCAGGCACGAAAGCGUGGGGAGCAAACAGG